UAUAAAACCUAGACUGUAGUCUUAGUUGUUUUAUAGCUAACAUAUAGUUGAAUCUAACCUAUUCUGAACACGUGCAUGUAACAACCAAUCAUUCACUUUCCCUCCGAUAUUCAGUUGCCUGUUGAAAGUUGUUUGAGACAGCCAUUGCAUUUAUUGAAUUGCAAUAUUAUAUUAUUUGUGUGGGAUAUUUUGGAUUCCUGCAGAUACCUUUAUCGAUCUAUUAAAACUUUGAAAACAU